GUUUGCACAUAAGGUAAACUAUGUUUGCACAUAGGGUAAACGAUGUUUGCACAUAGGGGGAACGAUGUUUGCACAUAAGGUAAACGAGGUUUGCACAAAACGUAUAAGUUGUUUGCACAUAAUGUAAAAGGCAUUUGCACAUGACGUAAUGAAUGCUCACAGAGAAGUAUCAAUUGUUCGGCAAAACGCAUAGGAACUAUACCAUGAUGUGUUGUGUUUUUCACUGGAGAUACAUAUGUAUAAACACAACAUAACGCCAAAAGACUAUAAUAUCAUGAGGUUUACAUAGAACAAAGGUGUAUCAAAACAAAACCUUUAGAACAUUCGGCAUAACAAUCACAUUUGAGACAGGACACAAUUUUUAACUGACUUACGUAAAUAAAGGCAACAGUAGUAUACCGCUGUUCAAAACUCAUAAAUCCAUGGACAAAAAACAAAAUCGGGGUAACAAACCAAAACCGAAAAACGCAUUAAAUAUAAGAGGAGAACAACGACACAACACCGAAACGCAACACACACAGAAACAGACACAACAU
rnacentral:lncRNA from 1 species